AUGUCACCCCAGUGCAGCCCCCACAUCCCCCCCCCGUGCCCACCCCAAAGCUCUGGGCACGUUGCGGAGGACAAAUGGCCACGGGGACCCCGCGGUGCUGGUGGUGCUGGUUUGCUGAGCCCAACACAUGGCAGAGGGUCGGUGCCAAACUUGGUGCAGCAGGAACCGGCCCCGAGCAGAUGGUGGAGGUGGCAGCACCUGGCACCCAGCGGGGCGGCCAUGGGGACGUGGGCUGCUGCCAUGAGCUCCUUGUCCCCACGUGGCAUCACGACAACGAGGUCGGCACCAGACCCCAAAUGUCCUCGUGGUCGUCCUGUGCUCACCUUAUGGUCAAGCUAUGGCCACCCCAUUGCCACCCCACAGUCAUGGUUUCCUUGUGAACACUGUGUCCCUACGGUCACCCCAUGGCACCAUUUCCCUGUGGCCACCUCAUGGGUACCCCACAGUCACCGUGUCCCCAUGGACACCCCAUGGAUACCCCACAGUCACCGUGUCCCCAUGGCCACUCCAUUGCCACCUUAUGGGUACAGCAGUGAGGACGGAUCCUUUUCCCCCAUGGGCACACAGUGGGUCCAGCCCCACAGCUCGAGCCAGGAGCAGGUGAGCACUAAUCCCUGGGAAUGCCCCAUCCUGGCUGGGCUCCAGCGCUCAGAUAAAGGGGAACAGACCGCAUUCCAACACGGGAACACGGAGCUGAUCCCACACAGCACACAGCCCCCAGGAGGGGAUCGCAGUGCGGAUGAGGGUGAUAAAAAGGGGGACCCUAUUUGUUGUUCUAGGGGACACGUCGCCCACAGCGCACGGUGGCACCCGGCUCUGCCCGUGGGUCCCGCAGCCAUGCGUGGCAGGCGGCCAGCUCCGCUCAUGCAGAUACGGAGCACAAAGGGCCCUUUGUGGGCACCGCAACCCACAGAGCUGUUGUGCAACGGGCAGCGCCGGGAGGGGAAGGACAUCAGCACCGCACGUCCCGGCCCCAGGCAUGGGAACGGGGACAGCGGGAUCCCAGCACAGAAAUAUCGCCUUUUUCUGCCCGUUUUUCUGCGCUUCGGGCUCUUUGCUCCACCUGCAGCGCUGGUUGCUCAACAGGGACAAAGUCUGCACGGCUCCAUGCCCUGCCUGCAACCCCGACCAACAGCAACGAUCGCCGAAACCCGAAACCGGGAGCGCGUCACGGGGCCGCGUCCACCCCACGCCCCGGGGACGUCACCGCGCUCAGGUUAA
rnacentral:lncRNA from 1 species